rnacentral:rRNA from 1 species
UUAAGUCCCGCAAACGAGGCGCAACCCUUGUUCUGUGUUGCCAGCAUGCCCUUCGGGGUGAUGGGGACUCACAGGAGACCGCCGGGGUCAACUCGGAGGAAAGGUGGGGACGACGUCAAGUCAUCAUGCCCCUUAUGUCUUGGGCUGCACACGUGCUACAAUGGCCGGUACAAUGAGCUGCGAUANCCGUGAGGUGGAGCGAAUCUCAAAAAGCCGGUCUCAGUUCGGAUUGGGGUCUGCAACUCGACCCCAUGAAGUCGGAGUCGCUAGUAAUCGCAGAUCAGCAUUGCUGCGGUGAAUACGUUNCCCGGGCCUUG